rnacentral:tRNA from 1 species
UUAAUAGAAGCCAAAAUAGAGGCUUUUCACUGUUAAUGAAUAAAUUAAUUUUUUAAAUUCUAUUAAG